UGUAGUUUUCCAUUAUAAAGGGGACUGUAAUGCGAUGUCUUUAAGUAGGUGGUUGUCUUAUAUUCAGAGUCGACUUAUGUUUCAAUAUGAGCGGGAAUGAAGUGUUACGCAAUUCUUUUAACGAAAUUUACCUCUGCUGUUUAGUUUCCAUAUUGUGCGUAGAAGCAACAGUGCGUGCACUUUCAGCUGCUCAGUUUAUCUUCAAUGCUGCUCUCAUUUUGUAGAGUUCAUCACAUGUGCCUUUGCAACACAUUGGCGGAGGCAAAACGAACUGCAUUUCUCGCUAGCUGGACAAGUCGGAAUGGCAGUGCAUCUUGGAGAACAAGACUCGAAUUGUGAAAGUCUGGUGGUUUUCACCAAGUUUCACAGAACAUUGUUUUAUGUCAAGAUGGGCUGACACCAUGUCACCUGAUGCUGUCACUCCCUGGUUGGACUGGCAUUUCACGACCUUUGGGAUCAGCCCACAUAUGGGGAGUGCUUAAUGCUUGCUUCACUUCUGCCUCGGGUUGGCCUGGUAUUGCACUUUCUUCGGGAUCGGCGCACCGUAUGAAAAAUUGUUGGUCUAUGCGCGGAUGCGAUCCGGCAGAUCCUAGCCAUAGACAGCUUCACUGUAAAAAAAGUGGUCUAGCUCACGGCAAAUAGAGUCAAACAUUUUAAAAUGCGAAUAAAAAGAGAU
rnacentral:lncRNA from 1 species